GCAGGCAUGUAGCUAGCCAUUCAUUCAGAUCCUGGUAUUAGGCCAUGGUAUAAAGGUGCCUAGUAGGUCGGACUGUCUUCCUCUCUGUCUCUCGCUCGGUUUGUCCCUGGGUUUCACGCAGGAGCCAAUCGCCAGCUCUGCGUCUCCCUUACUCUGCCGUGGCUGUAUGGAACCUGACCUGUCUAGCAUUAGAUAACUCUCCCCUGCAGCUUAUGACGAUGGCACGGCGUGUGUUUUAAGCGUUCUUUAGGCCUACUGGCUAAUCAGUGACUGCAAGUGUUUGGCCUGUGGGUUAUCUUCGGCGGGGGGUAGCUAGUCACCUGGUGGCGGGCUUGUGAACUUCACUUUGGAGUGUACUAUGGAAUAUCGGUGGUGGCUUGCUGUGACAAUGGUGUAACACUUUUCUGCAGUGGGAGUGCACGUGUGGACACCUUCCUUGAUAGUCUGCUUCCCCCCCAUCCAGGUAAGCCCUGCCUGCCAGUAUAAUUUUCUGUUUUAUUUUGGUGUGUGCAACAUUCCCAGCUGAUGUGGGCUUGUGCUAUUUAACUCAUGUCCUGCAUCCUACACGACAGUAGAAAGAUACAAUAAGAACACUAAAAUAAAGUAUAUUUUUAUAUGUUUCUAACCCCUGCCAGUUAUUUUCAGUUUCAGCAACAGAUCACACCACACUCCCCCCUCCCUCUCCCCAACAGUGCUUUCAAUAAACGGACAUUUGAUUUGAUUGGAA